GUGGGGAAUAUUGGUCAAUGGUCGGAAGACUGAACCAGCCAUGCCGCGUGCGGGAGGAAGGCCCUAUGGGUUGUAAACCGCUUUUGCUCCGGAGUAAUAAGGUCCAUGCGUGGGCCGAUGAGAGUACGGGGCGAAUAAGCAUCGGCUAACUCCGUGCCAGCAGCCGCGGUAAUACGGAGGAUGCAAGCGUUAUCCGGAUUUAUUGGGUUUAAAGGGUGCGCAGGCGGGCUGUUAAGUCAGCGGUGAAAUGUCCCGGCUCAACCGGGGAGCUGCCGUUGAUACUGGCGGUCUGGAGUGCGAACGGCGCCGGCGGAAUGUGUCAUGUAGCGGUGAAAUGCAUAGAUAUGACACAGAACACCGAUCGCGAAGGCAGCUGGCGAGGACGUUACUGACGCUGAGGCACGAAAGCGUGGGGAUCAAACAGG
rnacentral:rRNA from 1 species